rnacentral:rRNA from 1 species
GACGUAGGGUGCGAGCGUUAAUCGGAAUUACUGGGCGUAAAGCGUGCGCAGGCGGUUAUGUAAGACAGAUGUGAAAUCCCCGGGCUCAACCUGGGACCUGCAUUUGUGACUGCAUCGCUAGAGUACGGCAGAGGGGGAUGGAAUUCCGCGUGUAGCAGUGAAAUGCGUAGAUAUGCGGAGGAACACCGAUGGCGAAGGCAAUCCCCUGGGCCUGUACUGACGCUCAUGCACGAAAGCGUGGGGAGCAAACAGG